GCAUUGGCUAAUAGACUCACUGCCUGCUCUAUGAGCUCUGGUUGAGGGUAUAUGACAGGAGGUGGUGGACAUCGUCCAACUUUUGCAAUACGCUUUACUGGAACUUUUUGAGUUAAUAUCGUAGCUGGCAUGUCCAGUAAUGUGAAUUGUUUACCAGGUCUACCAUAAGUUGCCAAUCUAACAGCCUUCUCAACAUGAAGAGGUAUAAGUGCAGCCGAAGGUGGCCUGGCAGCAUAUUUGCAGUAAGGGCGGCUACUUUCAACUUGUGGCCAUUCUUGGAACCCCCCGAUUCCUUCAUGAUCUUGUGGGCAGGAUCCUCCGAUGACCAAAACUGGCCUGUGAAAGAAAGAUUUUAUUUUGGGUUGAAAUAUGCGAGAACCGCGUCGGGUCCGGGUGUGGGGUGGGUAAUGAGAAACAGGCUAGUCUUAGGUUGAUUCGUAAGCCUCAUUGUUGGCACGUUACACGGAAAAGUAUAAGUACCCAGGGUGGUGAAGAAGCGACGCACCGCGGGGGGCGACAUGGCCUGUUGCCUCUUUUCCGUUUACAGCGGUCAUUUGGCAAAUUCCGGUGAUUGAACGGACAGCGCAGGUGUACAACGAUCGAAAACCGAACAGGGUCAGUCAAGACUUAACGCUAUGGAACUACCAGGAAACUAAUCUAAAUCCGAAACCAAUCAACUAAAUCAUCGCAAUAACGGUGCCGUUCUAGAAUAAAUCGCCACGCUCCGUUUGUCCGUAAUGCAAAUGCAGAUAUAAUGCGAAAUGCAUAAAAAUAUAUAAGUAGAUGGAAUUCUCAUCGGGACAUGGAUUGAACGUUGCAUUUGGGCGUAUUACAAUUUACAGAUUAUUGGGUGGGCUUUCGAUCGACCGCUGCUAUGCGUGUCGAUUUUAGGUUUUUAUGCCUGUAUAGGUAUAUGUAUAUCCCUCGCGUGAUAUGGGAGCAAUUUUUACGUAAUUUGCUUAUAUAAGAUGAACAGCAUAGCAGUAAUCUGAUGAUCCUCGAGGCUCGCUCAUAGCUGAUCAUUGGAGUAUGGUGUUCGCCAGAUUGGUCACAGUCAUGGAACACGUAAAUUUUGUCCGUGAUAAUGCGAUUGCUAUGUGCACGUAAUACGAAGCAAGGACAGUUCGAGAGCGGAAAAAAUACAAGUUUUACGAGUACCGCGCCUAUCACCGGCAUCGCGUAAUGCAGCAUGUGCGCGUACGUGAAGAAAUUUGUUUCUGAAAAAAUUCUGUUCCAACUCAUAGUUGAUGUUCAAAUAAGAAACUAAAUGAACAAAACGCUUUGUUAUUCGAAUCAGAAUUUUCUUCGCCGAUUUUGCGCUUUUUCACGUUGUACAGCCUUAAACGAAUAUAAUCACGAAACGUGCAUGGCUCAUAAGAAUUUAUGAUUAUACACGUAGUAUGGCCAUGAUAAAAUAGAUGAAUUUUUUUUACUAUCGCGCUCGGAUUUUUCCAUUGCAGCUGGAGUAGUUGAAUAUGUAGUAGAGAAUUAAACACGUGGCACCACUAAACAAAAUUCCGAGUAAUGGAGCGUUGCAGAGUCGGUAGAUAGACCCUCCCUAAAACUCUCAAGGGUGCAGGGUCGAAGGUAUCGUACUUUUCCAAGACCCUACAUAAGUAAAACUUCGGGAAACUAAAAUGUAAGCGGCGUUGUUGAAACAGCAAUUGAAAAUCGGUAAUCCCGUAGGUGGGUGAAAACCCCGGCUAAAAUAAAACGGAUACGUGUUUUAGGAACUAUUUCGUGACGAGUAUUGAUCAGAUUAAUUUAAGCCCCUUCACAUUGUUGGGUAAAAGUGAAAAAAUUUCACUAUUUCAUUUACUUUUUAUUUAUAAAAAAUUAACUCGGUAAAAUUAAUAUCAAAUUUUUCACGUAGCUAUGAGAAGUCUGGCUUUCGACGCGAAGCUAACACAUGAGCAACUUCAUACCGAUUGCUUAUCGUCGGUGAUUACAAGGAUAAUUACCAAACUAAUAACGUCGCACGAUAAUCUGCACAACCGAGCAUUCGAUGUUGCAAAUUACCAUUGCAGGUACUCGUAAUUGAAUAAUAGCCAGCAGGUUCAUUUAACUUCCUCUAUGCACGACGGAACUAAAGAUAUAAAAUAUUAUCCCAUUUUUCGUGACAAGCGAUUCUCGCAUAUAUCGUCAAUAUAUAAAAUUCUACACGAAUCCGAGCUUGUUAUGCGAAUCGAUUUGAAAUUAGAAGUCCGUUAGAAUUUUUUCAUUCGAAACGAAAUAUUCGCAGAGUUUUAAUUCCCGUUUUGAGAGUUCGUUUAAAUUAGCUGGAAAGCAUUGGAUAAACGUCGACGACACCUGACUAUUUGAACGCCUAGCAUAUUAUCGUUGCUGCGGAAAGUUGCGCGCUUCAAUGCGCGGUGUUACUUUGCGCACAUUUAUAGCUCAGUCAUUUCGAACGCAGCUGCGACUAUGAAUUUGAACACUACUUGGAAAGAACUCGUGAAGAAUGGUUUAAUGAUUCCGUUCUCUGGGUACGCAAAAACCUCAACAUGUGAUGAUAAACGAAACGUUCUCCUGAAUGAAAUUACAGAACAUGCUACAAAGUUUGAUAAUUACUUAUACCAUCUUCGUAGACAUAACCUCAAAAGAUGAUCGUAAGUGAUGAAAAAAAAAACCAUCAAAUAAAACAAUGAUUAAAUAUAUAAAAAUUACCUGCUCCUUAAGAGCUUCUGCGAGUAUUUGAUUACCCUCCAUCUCGUCCAUCGCAAUCGUAAUUGGGGAAGUUGUCGAGGUGUUUGCACUUUAUAACGAAACGAACUUACUUCUUUAUGCGUAGACGUCACACAAAAUGAGCAUUGGAAGCAAAGUCCAUAAAAUGCUUUCUUUUUAUCAAUUGCGAUUAACAUUGUCUUCUGCUAAGCGGGCGCUGUUCAUAGGUGAUUGCUAUCAUUUCAACGAUACCCAAUAUACAUUGGACAGGUUUGAUCACACCUGCGAAAUUGGACCUACUGUACUAUAAUUAUUAGGCACAAAAAAUUGUAGUCUCUAUUUAAAAUCUAAUUGGAAUUUAUCUGUUUUAUCUUCAGUACCUGAAAAGGCAAGUUGAAUAGCUACUGUUACGCCUAUGAUGGUUAUCGAUUUAUUGAAAGCACGUACUUGCAUUGUAAAAUUUGAACUUUUGCCUCCUUAUUUGAUGAUUAUAUGUCCGACCGUUUGUCGGAAUCGUAGCAUUAUUGUUUUUUCUUAUGUAUCCGUACUCGAGCACAGCGGUUUGUAAGAAAAAUAAAAAUAAUUGAAAAUUGA